rnacentral:tRNA from 1 species
GGGCCUGUAGCUCAGUGGUAGAGCAUGUGCCUUCCACACACGAUGGAUGCCCUGGGUUUGAUCCCAGGUACACCCA